CGUAUAUUAAAGUUGUUGCAGUUAAAAAGCUCGUAGUUGGAUUUGUGGUGUGUGGUGUGUUCCGGGCACUUGUUGUCUGAGUAACCUGCUGUUGCCAUCCUUGGGUGGAACCUGUGUGGCAUUAGGUUGUCGUGCAGGGGAUGCCCAUCUUUUACUGUGAAAAAAUUAGAGUGUUCAAAGCAGGCUUAUGCCGUUGAAUAUAUUAGCAUGGAAUAAUGAGAUAGGACUUUUUUACUAUUUUGUUGGUUUGCGUAAAGAGGUAAUGAUUAAUAGGGACAGUUGGGGG
rnacentral:rRNA from 1 species